AGGGGAGGGUGUCUGAGCUCCGUCCUGAUGUGCCCUCUGCCCCUCUCCUCCCGCAGC
rnacentral:miRNA from 7 species